ensembl:lincRNA
UUUUUUUUUUUUUCGGUAAUACAUUGAGAAAACAGGGGCGUGUGGUGGGGGGCGGGGCGGGGGGCUUGUGAUGUUUUCUGGCUCUGGUAGCUCCCGGGAAGUUGAGCUGUGUUUAGCUCCUGGAUUUUGCAGAGCUGGCACUUUAGACGAAGAGGUCACUUAACUCCUGAAGCGAAGCACAAAAGGCGGGAGGCGGGGCCCGGGCACCUCCACUUUGUCCUCGAAGGAACCGGGAACCUGUCUAAUCACACGUGAAAAAUAAAAAGCAGAACCCCUCUGAGUUCCGGUCAGCCACGAGCUCCCAGAGACCGAAGGCGCGCGCUCGGCCGAGAUCGCCGGGAAAGGGGUGCUCCGGACUCGUGAGCGCGCGCACGCGUGUCUGUCCAUCCUGUCCAUCUGUGCACUUCCGCUCUGCUGCUGCUACUGCUGCUGCUAAGUCGCUUCAGUCAUGUCGAACUCUGUGCGACCCCAGAGACGGGAGCCUGGGAUUCUCCAGGCAAGAACACCGGAGUGGGUUGCCCUCUAAGAAACAGCAAAGGAAGAAAAACAUUUUAAAUAAAUGUAGUGGGCAAAAAAUCCUGAAUGGUAAGUGUUGUGUUUUCUUUUCAAGCUGCACCGUCCAAUAGGGUGUCUGCUUGCCUUAUGUGGAUAUCGAGCACUUUAAAUGUGGUUAACUGUGAAUGAAAAACUGAAUUGUUCAUUUUAAUUCAUUAAAAAAUUUUAAACUGAUUUCACUUACUGGAAAACUUCUAAAUAUGUUUGGAACAAUCUAUUUUUUCGACUUAAAUGUUAAGUCUAAACUUAAAACCUGAACUGAGAUGCCAGUAUAUAUAAACUACCAGCAGGUUUUCAAAGACUUAGUAACAUUUUUCUUAAGAAUAUUAAUUUAGUAAUUUUUUUACAUUAAUUACAAGUUCAAAUUAUAUUUUUGCUAUACUGGGUUAAAUAUAACAUUAAAGUUGACUUGUUUCUACUUUGCAAAAUAUGCCUAUUUUAACAUUUAAAACUACACAUAUAGCUCACAUUAUGUUUGUAUUAGAUAUUGUUGGCUUAAAGUAUUAAAAUGCAGAAUAAUACUUAUUGUUUAUAGAUAUAGUUUCUUAAAUAAUAAGAAUAUAUGAACAGGAUGGACCAACUUCAGGGUGGUGGUCAUGUUAGGAGAGUUAUAGAUAUUAUCUGGGAAUGGCUGAAAGGUGGUUUCCAUUUACAGUCUAAAGCAAACAUGAUAUUAGGAUGUUAGAUUUUAUUUGGGGUACUUUUAUAUAAUUUAAUAUAAUUUAUAAUACUGUGUGGUUCUUGCCCCCAAAUUCAUAACCUAUCUUCUAUACAUAUGAUCAAAUAUAUAUUAUACAGUGGAAGUGAGAAAUAGAUUUAAGGGCCUAGAUCUGAUAUAGAGUACCUGAUGAACUAUGGACGGAGGUUCGUGACAUUGUACAGGAGACAAGGAUCAAGACCAUCCCCAUGGAAAAUAAAUGCAAAAAAGCAAAAUGGCUGUCUGAGGAAGCCUUACAAAUAGCUGUGAAAAGAAGAGAAGUGAAAGCAAAGAAGAGGAAAGAUAUAAGCAUCUGAAUGCAGAGUUCGAAGAAUAGCAAGAAGAGAUAAGAAAGCCUUCUUCAGCGAUCAAUGCAAAGAAAUAGAGGAAAACAACAGAAUGGGAAAGACUAGAGAUCUCUUCAAGAAAAUUAGAGAUACCAAGGGAACAUUUCAUGCAAAGAUGGGCUUGAUAAAGGACAGAAAUGGUCUGGACCUUACAGAAGCAGAAGAUAUUAAGAAGAGGUGUCAAGAAUACACGGAAGAACU